CGAUAAGUAGCGGUGACCCAUCCGACCCCCAAAUGCUCCAGACGAUCUGGCAGGCUAAAGAUGUUUUAAGCACCGAGGAUGACAGAGGUGACUCAGCCCUCGUCCUGCUGUGUCACCAAGGAUGUCACACCCACGUCACAGGCGCUGAGCUGGCCGGCUGAAGGCACAGGCUGCUGCUGUACGGGGAACCCAUCGGUGCCUGAGGCUGAUGACGAUGGCUCUUUGGCGUGCCGAGCAUGAUGCAAGCACAGGAGACAAGAAUUUGUGAAGCCAAACCACAAAGAAAUCUCAGGAAAACAUUCAACCCCCACUGGAAAGGAAACAAGGAAAACCAACCCCAUGGCACUGAGCUCGAUAGAAAGACAAGAUAAAAGAUCUUGUUGGCACUUGUAUGAAGACCCAGCUUCCCAAAAGGCUGCUCUCUGCAGGUAUUCCUUUGCACGUCUCCAGUGAACUCCAUCAGACACAGGGCCUUCAGAUGACUGAGCCCAUAUCAAGACUGCCGUUCUCACCAAGUCCAAACCCAAGGCUGUUUCUCCAAGUCAGGGUCCGCCAGGCAGUCCAAACUGCAAAAGCUGCCUCUUUCCCCACAAUAAAACUGAAUUUUAAAUGCUUUAUAUGUUUUUA
rnacentral:lncRNA from 1 species